rnacentral:rRNA from 1 species
AGCGAACGUUUGCGGCGGGCCUAACACAUGCAAGUCGAACGCACUAGCAAUAGUGAGUGGCGCACGGGUGCGUAACACGUGGGUAAUCAACCCUUCAGCUUGGGAUAACGACUUGAAAGGGUCGCUAAUACCGGAUACGGCGCGAGAGGCUUCGGCUUCUCAACGAGAAAGCCUCGCAAGGGGCACUGAAGGACGAGCCUGCGGCCCAUCAGCUAGUUGGUGAGGUAAGAGCUCACCAAGGCUAAGACGGGUAGCUGGUCUGAGAGGAUGAUCAGCCACACUGGAACUGAGACACGGUCCAGACUCCUACGGGAGGCAGCAGUGGGGAAUAUUGCGCAAUGGGCGAAAGCCUGACGCAGCCACGCCGCGUGAGUGAGGAAGGCCCUUGGUCGUAAGACUCUGUCAAGGAAAGAAUAGUAUAAU